rnacentral:tRNA from 1 species
GUCUCGGAUAGCUUAACCAGUAGAGCCUUUGAGGCGUAACCAAAUGGUCUGGGUUCGAGUCCCGGUCUGGGCU